AAAAAGUAAGGCUUAACUGAAGCAUUUGGAAAGUUUGUAAACUCACACUAUGCUAGAUCUGCUGUCAGCGUCGUAUCCUCAGUGGCACCCUGUGAGCUCUGGCUGUGUCUCAGUGGUCUACCUGGUACUGGCUAUGGCAAGCCCUUUGUUUCUCUGAGAGGAGCAUCACAGAGAAAACAACAAGAGAGAAGUCAUUACAGAAAACCCCAAGCAAUCAAAAUGCAGAGUUAUGGAGCCUAGUUCUACUGGCUAUAUCCACAAAACAGCUCUUAAAACAACACCGAAGGCUCAGGGGACACUGUGGGAGAAGGAGCAGGAAGAUUGGCAGAGCUAGAGGAUCGGAGAGCUCGCUGUGAGAUUGCCUCCUAGUAAUGUGUGAAGCUACACGCAUAAUGUCUCACCACCGUGACUGCCUAAACAUGAGCUGAACAAAGACAACAACAGACCUACCAGAGUGGUUAGGAGAACCCACUCGUACAUAAAGAACGACAGGCCCCAACCCUUCAACAAAGAAUGACAGGUUUAAAAGAGAAGACCCACCAUGAAUAUGGGAGGCAUCAUCCUAUGGACUGAGGUCCCCAUGAAAAGAUAUGAGGAGGAAGCUCCCUGAAUACUCGAACUUAAGUCUCUCUGCCUCUUGGCUGCAGAUACAGUUUAGCCCACUUCUGCUCCCACCAGCCAGGCCUUCUGUGAUGACCAAUUUUCAUUAUCAACCUUAACUACAAGAAUCAACUAAAAC
ensembl:lncRNA